AAUGAGGGGGAUGAUGUAUUCUAUUGUGAAUAUGAAUAUGAUGUUCGCUGGCACAGUUUCAAGCGUCUUGCUGAAGUU